GUUGUACCAAGAAAGAUGUCAUCCCAGUGCCCCGACACUGGGAUCCAGAAAAUUUAAUUGCAAAUGAGCACACCUUGCAACCGCGUAAUAAGAGCUGGAUUCCAGUGUCAAGCACUGGAAUGACACCAUCUGAUACAACUA
rnacentral:ncRNA from 1 species